UACGUAGGGGGCAAGCGUUGUCCGGAAUCAUUGGGCGUAAAGAGCGUGUAGGCGGCUUGGCAAGUCUGGUGUGAAAUCUUGCGGCUCAACCGCAAGCGGUCACUGGAAACUGCCUCGCUAGAGUCCGGAAGAGGAGAGCGGAAUUCCUGGUGUAGCGGUGAAAUGCGCAGAUAUCAGGAAGAACACCCGUGGCGAAAGCGGCUCUCUGGAACGGUACUGACGCUGAGACGCGAAAGCGUGGGGAGCGAACAGG
rnacentral:rRNA from 1 species